GUAACACGUGGGUAACCUGCCUUAUAGUGGGGGAGUAGCCUUUCGAAAGGAAGAUUAAUACCGCAUAAGAUUGUAGUAUCGCAUGAUAUAGCAAUUAAAGGAGCAAUUCGCUAUAAGAUGGACCCGCGUCGCAUUAGCUAGUUGGUGAGGUAAUGGCUCACCAAGGCGACGAUGCGUAGCCGACCUGAGAGGGCGAACGGCCACAUUGGGACUGAGACACGGCCCAGACUCCUACGGGAGGCAGCAUG
rnacentral:rRNA from 1 species